rnacentral:rRNA from 1 species
UACGUAGGGUGCAAGCGUUAAUCGGAAUUACUGGGCGUAAAGCGUGCGCAGGCGGUUAUGCAAGACAGAUGUGAAAUCCCCGGGCUCAACCUGGGAACUGCAUUUGUGACUGCAUAGCUGGAGUUCGGGAGAGGAGCGUGGAAUUCCCAGUGUAGAGGUGAAAUUCGUAGAUAUUGGGAAGAACACCGGUGGCGAAGGCGGCGCUCUGGACCGAGACUGACGCAUGAGGCGGCGAAAGCGUGGGGAGCAAACAGG